GGGGACAACAAUUGGAAACGAUUGCUAAUACCCCAUAUGCCGAGGAGUAAAACGGUAACAACCGCCUAGGGAUGGGCUUGCGUCUGAUUAGCUUGUUGGUGGGGUAAAUGCUUACCAAGGCAACGAUCAGUAGUUGGUCUGAGAGGAUGACCAGCCACACUGGGACUGAGACACGGCCCAG
rnacentral:rRNA from 1 species